rnacentral:lncRNA from 1 species
UGCGAAGCCCUAACGCAGCGCUGGGGAGGGGGGCGGCCGAAAGGGGGCCGGUGGCUGGACUCUGAACAACUCCCUUCAGUAAAGGGGCCAGUCUUCACUGGCAGUGGCUGGUACUUGGCUCUCAGCCUGGAGUGGCAGCUCUGCUAGCAGCUGGGUUCACUCCCACUUCAUCCUGGCUGAAAGCAGUGCUGUGCUUUGAAAUGCAGCCAAUGAAUACCCAGUCUGAUUACCCAGAUUUGGGCAGACCAGCAGUGCUCGCCAGAGUGGUCUGGCCUGCUAUGGGGGAU